UCCCCAGGAAGGGGAGCCUCUCCUCAGGACCCGUGACUGGGACGGCAUAGAUCACUGGUGACCAGCUGUCCACCGUGGAAAGCCUGCCCUGCAGGUCUGAGCAGGUACCCUCGCCGUGAGAGAUGUAAUUGGUGGAGAAAAAGAACCCGAUCAAGAGCCUACAUGGCAACAGGAGGAUGUGCCAUAAGCCAAGGACCAGCCACCACUAGAAGAGGAAGGAGACCACUGUGGAUUUCCCCCCAGAGCCUCCAGGGAAUACAGGCUCCUGAGACACUUCACCCACUAACACCCA